rnacentral:rRNA from 1 species
CCUACGGGCGGCAGCAGUGGGGAAUAUUGCGCAAUGGGCGAAAGCCUGACGCAGCGACGCCGCGUGAUGGAUGAAGGUCUUCGGAUCGUAAACCUCUGUCAGCAGGGAAGAACGGUCACUGUGCUAAUCAGCAGUGAAUUGACGGUACCUGCAAAGGAAGCACCGGCUAACUCCGUGCCAGCAGCCGCGGUAAUACGGAGGGUGCGUGCGGGAAUCGGAAUUAAUGGGCGUAAAGCGCUCGUAGGCGGUAUGUCAAGUCAAGGGUGAAAUCCCCGGGCUCAACGUGGGAACUGCCUUUGAAACUGGCAAACUGGAGUGUGUGAGAGGAUAGUGGAAUUCCAGGUGUAGGAGUGAAAUCCGGAGAUAUCUGGAGGAACAUCAGUGGCGAAGGCGACUAUCUGGCACAUAACUGACGCUGAGGAGCGAAAGCGUGGGUAGCAAACAGGAUUAGAUACCCUUGUAGUC